GACAAACGCUGGUGGUGUGCCUAAUACAUGCAAGUCGAACGAGAAAGUCCCUUCGGGGGCGAGUAAGGUGGCGAACGGGUGAGUAACGCGUAGAUAACAUGCCUUUAGAUGGGGGAUAGCCAACCGAAAGGGUGGAUAAUACCGCAUAAGACCACAGUAUCUGUGGAUACAGGGGUCAAAGAUUUAUUGUCUAGAGAUUGGUCUGCGUCCGAUUAGCUUGUUGGUAGGGUAAAAGCCUACCAAGGCUAGGAUCGGUAGCUGGUCUGAGAGGAUGAUCAGYCACACUGGGACUGAGACACGGCCCAGACUCCUACGGGRGGCAGCAGUAGGGAAUCUUGCACAAUGGGGGAAACCCUGAUGCAGCGACACCACAUGAGUGAAGAAGGCUUUAGGGUUGUAAAGCUCUGUUCUUGACGAACAAAAAAAUGAGUGUAGUCAAGGAGAAAGGACCGGCUAACUUCGUGCCAGCAGCUGCGGUAAGACGGGGGGUCCAAGCGUUGUCCGGAAUUAUUGGGCGUAAAGUGGGUGUAGGUGGCUUUGUAAGUCAGAUGUGAAAAUCUCAGGCUCAACCUGAGAAGUGCCUUUGAUACUGCGAAGCUUGAGUUUGGAAGAGGGCAAUGGAAUUCCUGGUGUAGUGGUGAAAUGCGUAGAUAUCAGGAAGAAUACCGGAUGCGAAGGCGGUUGCCUGGUCCAACACUGACACUGAGACCC
rnacentral:rRNA from 1 species